rnacentral:rRNA from 1 species
CCUGGGAACUGCGUUNUGAACUGGGUGACUAGAGUGUGUCAGAGGGAGGUAGAAUUCCACGUGUAGCAGUGAAAUGCGUAGAGAUGUGGAGGAAUACCGAUGGCGAAGGCAGCCUCCUGGGAUAACACUGACGUUCAUGCUCGAAAGCGUGGGUAGCAAACAGGAUUAGAUACCCUGGUAGUCCACGCCCUAAACGAUGUCAAUUAGCUGUUGGGCAUCUUGAUUGCUUAGUAGCGUAGCUAACGCGUGAAAUUGACCGCCUGGGGAGUACGGUCGCAAGAUUAAAACUCAAAGGAAUUGACGGGGACCCGCACAAGCGGUGGAUGAUGUGGAUUAAUUCGAUGCAACGCGAAGAACCUUACCUGGUCUUGACAUGUACGGAAUCCUCCAGAGACGGAGGAGUGCCUUCGGGAGCCGUAACACAGGUGCUGCAUGGCUGUCGUCAGCUCGUGUCGUGAGAUGUUGGGUUAAGUCCCACAACGAGCGCAACCCUUGUCAUUAGUUGCCAUCAUUUAGUUGGGCACUCUAAUGAGACUGCCGGUGACAAGCCGGAGGAAGGUGGGGAUGACGUCAAGUCCUCAUGGCCCUUAUGACCAGGGCUUCACACGUCAUACAAUGGUCGGUACAGAGGGUAGCCAAGCCGCGAGGUGGAGCCAAUCUCACAAAACCGAUCGUAGUCCGGAUUGCACUCUGCAACUCGAGUGCAUGAAGACGGAAUCGCUAGUAAUCGCAGGUCAGCAUACUGCGGUGAAUAUGUUCCCGGGUCUUGUACA